rnacentral:rRNA from 1 species
AGCGGUGGCUAGACCCGAAAGGUUAAGAGAGUUAAGCGUGCUAGGACGGGAGUAGUCCUAAAAUGGGUGACCCACUGGGAAGUCGGGGCGUCACAGUUU